ensembl:lncRNA
UUAGCUUUCUGUUAGUCACAGAAGACUUGGAAUAAAGCACAUGGGUCAUAUGAAGCACUUUUAUGAUACUUUUAUGAUGUGUUUUUUUUUUUCAUUUCAUUUUUUUACAUUUUUGUACCUUUGCUCACCAUUGACUUUUGGAAGAAAGCAAGUCUCUAAGAAAGACAUGGUGGUGAGUAAAUAAUGAUAUCAUUUUUAUUCCUGGAUGAAACUCUUUCACUUUAAGUGCAGCAGCUUUUGAGUUUUUAAGUUCCCAACUUAAAAGGCAUCAGUUUCAUCCCAUUUUUUAAAUUUAAGCCAAUAUUACAAAGCAUGUAAGCUACCAUUCAAAAAAAUGUUUAAAGAAAUGAAUACUUUUAUUUAGCAAGGAUGCACAGUAUUAUUAUUUUAAAUGUAUUUUUGAUCAAAUGAAUUCAAAAUAAUAAUUUCAAAACAAGUAGAUAAAUAAAUCUUACUGACCCCAAACUUUUGAACAGUGGUGUUUAUCCUCUGUCACCCUCAAGAUAACCUACUUGUAAUAGCCCAUUUUGUUCUGCAGACAUAAUUCAAAUGGGACAAAAAUAGGACAAGUGGCUGUUGCACAUUUUAUUUGGGCGCUGUUCAUCUUUAUGGCUGCUUGAAGACUUAGUUGGCUUGAGUGUGUGAAGCCUGGGCACAGCUCCUGUGUCUGGGAGGUUCUCUCUCUGGGAGGGCACUUGGAGAAAGCUUGCACUGUCUGGGAUCUUUAGCAGGGGUACAGAGACUGUGGUGCAGUGUGUAUCUCCAGCAGUCAUGGUGUGCUGUGUCUGUAUGGGAUGCUACCUUGUACUAGAUCUGCUUCUGCUUGGAUUGCAUGUGGAGGGCAAAUGGAAAGCCAUGAACUACAGUGUCUCUUCUAAGAAUGAAGAUCUUCAUAGUAAAUGGGAAAUUUCAUCUUAUCUGAACAGAACUUCAAAGCAUUCACUCCGUGGUUUUGUAGUGGUGGACGAGUCUGACCUUCUCACGUCUCCCGCCAUCAGCACACAUAGCAGGUAUAAGGACACCAGGGACAAAAAGAUCCAGUCCACCACCUCUCAAAAACUGAAAGCAGAUUUUGGUGCAGGCCAUCUUGAGCGGCUCCCUUUGAAGCCCUCUAGGGACAUUGCUGACCUGGAUUCUAUUUUGAAUGUGAAGACAUCAGCUGGUCAAAAAGAUCUUGUCCAGCCUACAGUCCAUCCUGAGUUAAACCAGCUGACUGAAGAAGGUUUCUUACUUCCUUCGAAGAGCUUCGAUUUAGUUAAAAAGCCUUUGGUCAGUGUUCACUCAAAAAAAGGAUAUGAAUCACUUGUAGGAAAUGGACAAGCUGACUACAAGCACUCAAGCAAGAAAAGAGUUGCAUUUAAACAUGGUGAUGUUAUAUUAGGCAUGGAUGGAAGGAGAUACCAGCUCCUCAGUGGACCUCCAGGGCCUGUUGGACCACCAGGCAAAAGAGGGUGUGCAGGGAAAAGGGGCUAUAUUGGAUACAAGGGUGUUAAGGUGAGGAAUUUACAUUUCAUACAACUCAUUACAUUGUUGUGCUCGGAUGGCAUCCCACUGAUUUGUAUCUGUGUGUCCUACAAGGGUUCUCAAGGAGUCCGAGGAGCAGAUGGGCCAAGGGGCAUAUCAGGACCUCCAGGUCCACCAGGACUCCCAGUCCUCUACCUUUGGAGGAACACAGAGGAGGAUUGGGCUGCAUUUAGGAGAACAUCUUAUUACCAGUUGCUGGCGGCUGGAUGGCCAAGACAGACAGGACACCCUGGACCAAUGGGUGAGAUGGGGAGACCAGGUUUACCUGGGUUACCUGGAGACCCAGGUCAGACAGGACCACCAGGCCGAAGAGGCGAAAUGGGUGGCAUUGGACCCAAGGGUGUUCGAGGCAGAGCAGGGACUCAAGGAAGAGAUGGAGAGAAAGGUCCAGAUGGGGUGACAGGAUCUCCAGGUGUCCCUGGGCUACAGGUGAGACUGAGGGCAUGGGACGGCUACAGUAGCUUUUGUAGUAGUUGUAAAAGUUGGAACACAAGUGUGAAUACAGUAAUAUUUUUGGAUAGAUUCCGUAAAGCUAUAAAUUGUACCUGUGGAACAUGUGUACAUCAAUUGCGGAAAACCAUAUGUUUUAUAUUUCUGGUUGUUGAUCAAGGGUCCUCAUGGUUACAAAGGUGACACAGCGCCCCCUGGUGAGAAAGGAGAUGAGGUACACCAUGAGGCAACAUAAUAUUCUGAAAUACUGUACACUCCCCUGUAACUGCCUCACACAGGAUUAUAAUAUACUUAUCUACAUAAAGCAGUUUUUCUGCCUCCACGAGCAGGGUUUUCCUGGUGCUCCUGGGCCCAGAGGAGACGAAGGACAGACUGGCCAGAAGGUAAAGAAACCUGCAUCUGAAGUAUUUAUAAUUCAUUUAAUUUGUGUGUACUGUGUAUACUGUAUACAGUAAAAAUGGUAUACAUAUACUGCCCCCUAGCGGAUCAGGAGGGGCCACUUCCACUAAAAAAAGUAAUCUAUGAUUGGCUAUGGCUUUGUUGUUUUCCUUUUUCUUUUAUUUUUUAUUUUAUUAUUAUUAAAUAAUAAUUUUCUUUAUUUAUUUAUAGGGCUCAAAAGGAGAAAUUGGGUUUACUGGAUUUUCUGGUCCUCCAGUGAGUAAAUCACUUCAUAUUCUUGAACUACUAGUAACUGUUAUUCUUGCUAGUAACUGGUGUUAGUAUCCUUAGAUAUAUUUCUUAUAUUUUCCUUUUGUUUUUAUUUAUUUAUUUAUUUUUAAAGGGACCAGUUGGUUUACAAGGUGUUCAAGGGAUUCCUGGACCACCUGGUCCUAAGGUGAUUCAUUUAAUUCACAAUUUAUUUUAACAUAUUUUUUACAUUCACCUUGACAGUAAGUAUAAAAUUUUUUGUUUUCAUAGGGGGAUCCAGGAAAUGAUGAAAAACGUGGUCCUCCAGGGACAGUAGUGAGUCAUUAAUAACCCCUUUUUAAUAAGAAAUAAUCACUGUCCUCAAUUCAGUUAGUUUCUUUUUGGUUAUAAUGGAUAUCCUUUAUAAUUUUUUACUUGGAUGAAACAUAGUUUAAAGAACUUUCUUUUUUCAAGUUUUCAUAAGAGUCACAAACACUCUUAAAAUGUAAAUUUUUAUGGAUCCUGCUUAAUAAUGCGCAGUUAUGUGUUUGUGUCU